rnacentral:tmRNA from 1 species
GGCCUCGUUAAACACGUCAACACAUGUAAAUGCUGACAAACUCAGCUGGAGCAAUAGGUCCUUUGGGCCUAUGGCUCUACCUCUCGCUGCCUAAUUAGGUUCAGCGACGUUUCUUAAGCGCUUAGCCUUGGGGGCUUUUGAAAUGACGGUUUCAAGGAUAGUUUCGCCUGUGCGCUUUCAAUGGGCGGAAUGAAGUUUUGGAAAGCUCGUUUCUGAAAAUCCUGGCUGUGGGAGUUUCAGGAACUAAACUCAAAAUAUAGCCUGAGCAUGGAGGACCGCUUGUUGGAGUCUCUCUGGACGUGGGUGCAAUUCCCACCAGCUCCACCA